GAUGAACGCUGGCGGCGUGCCUGAUACAUGCAAGUCGAGCGAACGGACGAGAAGCUUGCUUCUCUGAUGUUAGCGGCGGACGGGUGAGUAACACGUGGAUAACCUACCUAUAAGACCGGGAUAACUUCGGGAAACCGGAGCUAAUACCGGAUAAUAUUUUGAACCGCAUGGUUCAAAAGUGAAAGACGGUCUUGCUGUCACUUAUAGAUGGAUCCGCGCUGCAUUAGCUAGUUGGUAAGGUAACGGCUUACCAAGGCAACGAUGCAUAGCCGACCUGAGAGGGUGAUCGGCCACACUGGAACUGUGACACGGUCCAGACUCCUACGGGAGGCAGCAGUAGGGAAUCUUCCGCAAUGGGCGAAAGCCUGACGGAGCAACGCCGCGUGAGUGAUGAAGGUCUUCGGAUCGUAAAACUCUGUUAUUAGGGAAGAACAUAUGUGUAAGUAACUGUGCACAUCUUGACGGUACCUAAUCAGAAAGCCACGGCUAACUACGUG
rnacentral:rRNA from 1 species